UACGUAGGCAGCGAGCGUUGUUCGGAAUUACUGGGCGUAAAGAGUGUGUAGGCGGUGCUCUAAGUCUGUCGUGAAAUCUCCCGGCUUAACUGGGAGGGUGCGGCGGAAACUGGAGUGCUAGAGGGUGGGAGAGGAAAGCGGAAUUCCUGGUGUAGCGGUGAAAUGCGUAGAGAUGUGGAGGAACACCGAUGGCGAAGGCAGCCCCCUGGGCUGAGAUUGACGCUCAGGCACGAAAGCGUGGGGAGCAAACAGG
rnacentral:rRNA from 1 species